rnacentral:lncRNA from 1 species
GCGCAGGCUCGGCGUUGGCCUCCGCGGCCCGUGCGAGUGCGCCCUUCUCGGGUCCCCUAGGUCGCGGGGCAGCCGGGGCGGAAGGGGCUUGUUCAUUAUUUUGAGAGUUUGUUGUGAACGUCAUAACCUUUCGUCCUUAAAUAUUGCCGAUACUUGACCUACGCAAGAGACAAUGUCAUGUGAUUCAGCCUAAUAUCUCAGAGGAUGCAGCAUUCAAGGUUCUAUCUUGGAAGCAGAGACUGUGCCCUCACCAGAUGCUGAACCUGCUGAGCACCCUGAUCUUCCACUUCACCUUCAUCAGAACUUCUUUCUCAUCUUAGAAAAGAGCCCCCCAUCUGCCAGAGGAGUCAUCUCCAGGUUCUGCCUUUUUCAUCCACUCCCACAUUUACUCCAACACCAAUCCUGUCAACUCAGCUUCUGAAACACCAUUCCACCACCUCCAGCAUGGCCACCUAGCCACCAUUGUUUCUAGAUGAUUCUGUGACAACAGCCUUCUAUGUCUCUCCAUAUCCACUUUUGCUUCUACAAUCCAUUUUCCACAAUGCGGACAGAGAAGCUUCUUAAAAGUGUCUUUGAGGAAUUGUCACACUGUCUUCUGCAAUGGAUGAACUAAUUUACACUCUCAACAACAGUGUAUAAGCAUUCCUUUUGCUCUGCAACCUCACCAGACAUCUGGACGCGCAUGAAAUUUGGUGCCGUGACUCGGAUCGGCGGACCUCCCUUAGGAGAUCAAUCCCCUGUCCUCCUGCUCUUUGCUCCAUGAGAAAGAUCCACCUACGACCUAAGGUCCUCAGACCAACCAGCCCAAGAAACAUCUCACCAAUUUCAAAUCCGAAAUCCUUCAUCUAAUCUGGCAAACACAUGUGGCAGGUUUUUCUCACCGCAUAAAAUAUGUUAUAGAGUAGUCCAUCUAUUUCUCUUCCAUGGAAGAGUUCAUCUGGUAGAUUGGACUACCACUUUUCCUUGUGGAGACCUAUUCUGUUGGGUUAGAGAUGACAGAAAAUCUUAUUUGUCGGUUGGUUUGUUUGUUCAAGAAUACACUGACCUUCUACAAGAAAGGAGAGCUCUUUGACACCUGGAAAUUUUACAGAAGCUUGGGACAGCUCUGAAUGGCAACACGGUCCUGAGAUAUGUGAUUACCUGGGACUUUCAUUGGACCUGCAUUUCAGCUCUACUCUCCUCACUGCCCUAUGCUGCUUUGACCCUAAAAGUGAAGCCAGCUUGGCCAGGUGCAGUGACUCACACCUGUAAUCCCAGCACUUUGGGAGGCCGAGGUGGGCAAAUCAAGAAGUCAGGAAAUCGAGACCACCCUGGCCAACAUUGUGAAACACCAUCUCUACUAAAACACAAAAAAAUUAGCCAGGUGUGGUGGCACGCACCUGUAGUCCCAGCUACUCGGGAGGCUGAGGCAGGGGAAUCACUUGAACCCGUGAGGAGGAAAUUGCAGCGAGCCAAGAUCGCGCCACUGCACCCCAGCCUGGGCGACAGAGAGAGACUCCAUCUCAAAAACAAAACAAAACAAAACAAAAAAAACAAAAA